UCUCAGGCUCACGACAUAAUUAAAAAAUAGAAACAAAAAUAUCAUCCUUCCCAGAUAUCUUUUGUGAAAGUUAAUUGAUUGGGAAUCUGAAAGGAUCCCAAUUGGGAAUUACAUAUAUGUGUGUAUGUAUUUCAUAUAUGUAAAUAUACAUCUAAAACUUAGAGGAAUUGCAAUAUGGAACAGCUUUAUUGUAUGCAAUUUACUUACAUACCCCUUAGCUAUGUAACUGGAGAAUACCCAGAGGAAAAUCUUUUGGCAAGAUAUUAAAAUAUUCACAAGGGUAUUUGCUAGCAGCU
rnacentral:lncRNA from 1 species